UAUGUUUGCCUGGUCGUCGUAAGAGCUUUGCUGAUAUCAUUCAGCGGCCUCAUUCGGCAGGGAACCAUCCAAUAGCAGAAGACAUCCAUGCCAUUUCUUCUGGUAUAGCUUCAGAAAGGACAUGAAGAUUACAAGAGUCUGAUGUAAGUUCGGUGAAUCUUCUGAGGGAGACAGAUUCACUCUGUAUAGAGGCUAUUACUAGUGAAGAUCCUUUUACCUCUGAGUUGAGCUCACAAAGAUCUACCAACACGCAGAAUGAGAGAUCAAAUGCGAGGGUAGGGAGCCGCGAGGACAACAGUCUAUCUGCUUUUGGUGCUUUUGGUCCAUCCUCUGCUGCUUCUAGAAUGUGGGGG